UACAGAGGAGCCAAGCGUUGUCCGGAUUGACUGGGCGUAAAGCGCACGCAGGCGGCACCGUGCGUGGGGUGUGAAAUCUGGCCGCUUAACGGCCAGGCGCCAUCCCAUACGGCGGAGCUGGAGUGAUGCAGAGGUCGAUGGAAUUGCCGGUGUAGUGGUGAAAUACGUAGAGAUCGGCAGGAACACCCAGGGGGAAACCAGUCGACUGGGCAUCUACUGACGCUGAGGUGCGAGAGCGUGGGGAGCGAACCGG
rnacentral:rRNA from 1 species